rnacentral:rRNA from 1 species
AGAGCAUACGGUGGAUGCCUUGGCGAUAUCUGCCGACGAAGGACGUGACAAGCUGCGAAAAGCUGCGGAGAGAUGCAAAUAAUCGGCGACCCGCAGACAUCCGAAUGGAGCAAUCCGGCUGUGAUGAUGCACAGCCAUCCAUGCCCAAGAGCAUGAGAAGGGAACCGGGCGAACUGAAACAUCUAAGUAACCCGAGGAAAAGAAAUCAAACGAGAUACCCCAAGUAGCGGCGAGCGAACAGGGAAGAAGCCCAAACCGGUGAAGGAAACUUUACCGGGGUUGAGGACCAUCAGACCCGCGAAGAACCUUAGCCGAAACUGUUGGGAAACAGUGCCGAAGACAGUGAAAGCCUGGUAGGCGAAAAAGAGAAACGCGGAGAUGGCACCAGAGUACCGCGGGACACGAGAAAUCCCGUGGGAAGCCGGGGGGACCACCCUCCAAGGCAAAACACAGAUAUCGACCGAUAGCGCAUAGUACCAUGAGGGAAAGGUGAAAAGCACCCCGGGAGGGGAAUGAAAGAGAACCUGAAACCGUAUGUUUACAAGCAGUCGGAGACCGCUUAAUAAUAAGGUCGACGGCGUGCCUAUUGAAGAAUGAACCGGCGAGUUACGAAGCCUGGCAAGGUUAAGCAGGAAAUGCGGAGCCGAAGCGAAAGCGAGUCUUAAGAGGGCGCAAGUCAGGAAGCGUAGACCCGAAACCACAGUGAUCUACCCAUGUCCAGGUUGAAACACAGGUAAAAAUGUGUGGAGGACCGAACCUAUAUCCGUUGAAAAGGGUUAGGAUGAGGUGUGGGUAGGGGUGAAAUUCCAAUCGAACGUGGAGAUAGCUGGUUCUCCCCGAAAUAGCUUUAGGGCUAGCCUCAGGGAAAAGAUUGCAGGCGGUAGAGCACUGAUCAGGAGAGGGACCUACCCGGUUACCAAACCCAGUCAAACUCCGAAUGGCUGCAAUCAUACCUGGGAGUCAGACUGCGACUAAUAAGGGCCGUAGUCAAAAGGGAAACAGCCCAGACCAUCAGCUAAGGUCCCCAAUGCCGUGCUAAGUGGCGAAGGAUGUGGCAUUUCAUAAACAACCAGGAUGUUGGCUCAGAAGCAGCCACCAUUUAAAGAGUGCGUAAUAGCUCACUGGUCGAGAGACGCUGCGCCGAAAAUGUCCGGGGCUCAAGCACGGAACCGAAGCUAUGGCAUGAUAGCAAUAUCAAAGCAGAGACAUGAUGGGGAGUUAAAGGAAACUUUGACGAACUCAUGAAUCCCACACUGCCAAGAAAAACUUCUAGCGAGACAAGAUCCGCCCGUACCGUAAACCGACACAGGUAGGCGGGGAGAGAAUCCUAAGGUGCGCGGGAAAACCCUCGUUAAGGAACUCGGCAAAUUGCAUCCGUAACCUAGGGAGAAGGAUGGCCCCCGGUCAGUGAAGAGCAGAAACGCUCAGAGCUAAAAGGGGCGGCAGAAAAGAGGCCCAAGCAACUGUUUACCAAAAACACAGGUGCCUGCGAAAGCGAAAGCUGAAGUAUAGGUGCUGACGCCUGCCCGGUGCCGGAAGGUUAAGGAGAGAAGUUAGCGAAAGCGAAGCAUCGAACUGAAGCCCCGGUGAACGGCGGCCGUAACUAUAACGGUCCUAAGGUAGCGAAAUUCCUUGUCGGGUAAGUUCCGACCCGCAUGAAAGGCGUAAUGAUUUGGGCACUGUCUCAACGAGGGGCCCGGUGAAAUUGAAAUACCUGUGAAGAUGCAGGUUACCCGCGACUGGACAGAAAGACCCCAUGGAGCUUCACUGCAGCUUGAGAUUGAAUCCCGGUGACAGAUGCACAGGAUAGGUGGGAGGCGCCGAAGCAUUGCCCUAGGGCGGUGCGGAGCCGAUGUUGGGAUACCACCCUUCUGUUGCUGAGAUUCUAACGCGAGGAGUAACGACCCUGCGGACCCUCUCAGGCAGGCGGUUUGACUGGGGCGGUCGCCUCCGAAAGAGUAACGGAGGCGCCCAAAGGUUCCCUCAGGCCGGACAGAAACCGGCCGAAGAGUGCAAAGGCAGAAGGGAGCUUGACUGCGAGACCAACAAGUCGAGCAGAGACGAAAGUCGGGCUUAGUGAUCCGGUGGUACUGAGUGGAAAGGCCAUCGCUCAACGGAUAAAAGCUACCCUGGGGAUAACAGGCUAAUCUCUCCCAAGAGUUCAUAUCGACGGGGAGGUUUGGCACCUCGAUGUCGGCUCAUCACAUCCUGGGGCUGGAGUAGGUCCCAAGGGUUGGGCUGUUCGCCCAUUAAAGUGGUACGCGAGCUGGGUUCAAAACGUCGUGAGACAGUUUGGUUCAUAUCCAUCGCGGGCGCAAGAAGUUUGAGAGGAGCUGCUCCUAGUACGAGAGGACCGGAGUGGACGGAUCAACGGUGUCCCAGUUGUCACGCCAGUGGCACGGCUGGAAAGCCGCAUCCGGGAAGGAUAAACGCUGAAAGCAUCUAAGCGCGAAGCCAACCUCAAGAUGAGACUUCU